rnacentral:lncRNA from 1 species
CACACAAGAAGCUAUCAAAGUUUUUUCUAAGAGAGAGACUCUGUUGGAAUGGCUUCAAAAUCAAGUGAAGGUUCGCGUUGUCAGUGUGUACGACUUUGCUGUCAUUCUUUAUAAUUCUUUUAAGGGUGACCGACAGCUUGCUAUUGCCUAUGUUCACUUCCUUUAUCAUUCCCUCUCGAAGAGUUAUCUACCAAAGGGGGAUGUUGACAAUUUGUGUCGUAUCAUGCCACUUGUAGAUAACUAUGGGCAUGUGAGCACUCAGAGAAAAGGUGUUCUCGUUCCUGCUAACGGAAGCAAAUGGGUGGGAUUAAUGGGUGCAAAUCCGUGGAGGGGAGCAGGCUAUGUUGAGCUGGGAGAAGACUAUUUGCGCUCGGGCAGUUAUGCAGGUUCAUUCACACCAGAGAUGCAGCUAAUGACGUUUCUCAAAACUCAUGUUGCAGCUUCUGAUAUACCUGAUAUAUCUCCUCCCGACGCCGAGUUAUCUGCCGCAUAUGCACCACUCACCAAGCAAAAUGCAUUCUUGCUGUUGGACUGGAUUCACAACCUGAAAUAUAAGCAAGGUCUGCCAGCUAAGUUCCUGACAUCCAUUAAGAUGGGAAGCUGGCUCAAAAUUUCCCUCAGUGGCAGUCCUGGAUAUAGGCCACCAUCACAGUCUUUCCUGCUUGCUUCAUCAGAUGAAAAUCUUCUGCAGGAUGAGUCAGUAAUGGUUGAUAUUCCAUUGAUUGACCAAGGAUUUUAUGGAAAUGGCAUCAAUAAUUAUAAGGAGGAGCUCAAAACUGUUGGAGUAAAGUUUGAAUAUGGCGAAGCGUGUGAGUUUAUAGGGAGGCACCUCAUGUCUCUUGCAGCUUCCUCUGCAUUGACUAAAUCCAAUGUGUUUCAAAUACUUAAGUUCAUCAGAUUUUUGAGACUUAGAUGUCUUCCGGCUGAUAAAUUCAUCCAGAGCAUCAAAGAUGGAAGGUGGUUGAAGACUUCCUGUGGUCACAGGUCUCCAGUUGGAUCUGUUUUAUUUGACCAGGAAUGGGAAGCUGCAUCACAAAUAAGUGACAUCCCCUUCAUUGACCAAGAUCACUAUGGCAAGGAAAUCCUUGGUUUCAAAAUGGAACUCCAAUUGCUUGGUGUGCUGGUUGGCUUUAACAAAAAUUACCAGCUUGUUACCGAUCACUUCAAGUCUCAAGCAUGCUCAAAUUGUCCAACAGCCAAGUCUAUUCUUUUGAUAUUUGAAUGCAUGUGGGAUUGCGAGCGCAAUUCAAGAUCAGCCCAUGAGCUUGUGCAUGCGCUUAAAGGUAAUAAAUGCUUGAAGACGAACAUGGGCUACAAGUUUCCUAGUGAAUGUUUCCUGUUUAAUACUGAGUGGGAUUCGCUUCUGAAAGUCUUCCAUAAUGAUUUUCCACUUAUUGAUGAAAACUUCUAUGGAACCAGCAUCUUGUCUUACGAAAAAGAGUUGAGGCAAGCAGGUGUAGUGGUGGAUUUUGAAGCAGCGACCCAGAAAUUUUUAGCUGUUUUCAAGAAGCAUGCAUCCUCGUCUUCUAUUGGAAGAGAACAUGUUCUGUCUUUUCUCAGGUCUUACGGACAGAUUAAUAAGACAAACAAGAAGUUUCCUUCAGAUUUUAAGCACAACAUUUGUGAGGCAAAAUGGCUGCAAACACGGCUUGGUGUUCCUAGAUCACCAAGAGAGUGCAUUCUUUUUGGCCCAGAAUGGGAACCUGUAAGUUCAAUUACUGUGCUUCCUUUCAUUGAUGAUAGUGACAAGUACUAUGGCAAGAGAAUUCAUGAAUAUAGUAAAGAGCUGAGGAGCCUGGGUGUUACCAUCAAGUAUAAAGAUGGGGUGAGGUUUGUGGCUGCAGGUGUCUACUUUCCCCAAGAUCCCAGCACCAUAACUCCUGAAAGUGUGUUCUCUCUGCUGCAGUGCAUCCAGAUAUUAAUGAAAGAUGGUUAUACUUUGACUGAUGCUUUCCGGUCAAAGGUUUCUCAAAGUUGGUUAAAAACCAAUGCUGGGUAUAGGUCUCCAGGCCAAUGUUUGUUGUUUGGCUCUGAGUGGGGUUCUUUCUUACAGAGGAACGAUGGACCUUUCAUUGAUGAAGAAUUCUAUGGCCCCAACAUUACAGCCUACAAGAACGAGCUCAGAGAAAUUGGAGUGACCGUUGAUUUGUUAAAUGGGUGCUCUUUGCUUGCUGGCUAUCUUGAUUUUCAUUCUGAAUUUUCAACCAUUGUUCGAGUCUAUAAUUACUUGAAUGAACACGGCUGGUCGCCUUCCAAUGAUACUCCUAGAAGGAUCUGGAUCCCUAAUGGGAGUGACAGUGGAGAGUGGGUUAGUCCUGAAAAAUGUGUUAUUCAUGACAAGGAUGGUCUCUUCAGUUCACAGCUGAAUGUUUUAGAGAAACACUAUAAGCCGGAAUUAUUCAGCCUUUUCUGCAGAGUCAUGCAAGUUAAAUCCAAUCCUUCUAUUGAUGACUACUGCGAACUUUGGAAUAACUGGGAAAAUUCAAGGGAGCAACUGUCACGUUCGGAGUGUUGUGCUUUCUGGGCCCAUGUUUCAAAGCACUGGAGUAAAAACACACAGAAAACUCUUGCCGACAGCUUGUCAAAACUGCCAGUUGAAUCAGGAUCGGAGAGAAUAAUGCUGUUUGACAAACGUGAUGUUUUCAUUGCAGAUGACCUCCAGCUGAAGUAUCUUUUCCAACAAUCUUCGCCUCACUCAAUUUUUGUGUGGUAUCCCCAGCCAAGCAUCCCUUCCUUGCCCCGGACUAAGCUGCUUGACAUCUACAGGGAAAUUGGUGUUCGUUCUAUCUCUAAAUCUGUACAGAAGGAAGAAAUCUCCAAGUUGGAGGCCAGUGAACUCAAGCAAGUGUCUCAGAAGGAAACUUUGAUCGGAAAAGGCCUGCUGAAACUCAUUCUUGGCUUUCUCGCUGGUCCUUCUAUUGAAAUGGAAGCAGGACAAAGGCUGGAAGCUGUCAAAGGCCUUCUCAAUCUUAAGGUGUUUGAGACGGAGGGGCAAACUGCAGCAAGCUACAGAUUGUCAAUGUCUUCUGGGGAAACCAUGGACGUUGAUGCAAGAGGAAUGAUGCGCUGGGACCGGGAGGAUUCCAAGCUUUUCAUGCAGAAGAUGGAUAUAUCGGGUGGACAUAAAAAUAAAAUCGAAUAUGCUACAAUCUUCGCUGAAGUAAUAUCAGAGGGCGUCUUACAGGAGAAAGAAGACCAUAUAUCUGAUCUCGCCGAACUGAUCAAGUUGGCAUUCUUCCUGGAUUUUGAUGAGGAAGCAGUUGGGUUCUUGAUGAGAUCCAAGAAUCUCCAAGUUUUCUUGGAGGACGAGGAGCUUCUCUCUUCAGCCCUUUCUCUCGACUAGGUAUGCAUUCUAUGCCAUGACCAAUAAAUAGUUGAAAGUGUCAUUUUCCUUAUAUUUCCCCGUUUGAAGUGUGUACUGGUGUGUGCUAUUAGAAUAUUAUAUAAUGUAUAUGAAUCUGGUGUGAAAUGGCUGAUUUAGGCAGCCUAUAUUGUGAUAAUUAUGCCCUUGUGCUUGCCUUUUUUAUUAAAUCGAUUUAAUAUUAAUUGACAUGCAAGAGACAAAAUUAAAUAUUUAAAAGGAGAUGCAUGUGAAGAUCUAAUCUACUCAUAUGUUUUCAAACACUAAAAGUAAAAAAAAAAUUAUAUUGUAAGAGUUCAACUUUAACAUAUCAAAUUAUAAAAAAAUAAAAAAAUUACAAUAUAUCAUCCUUAAAAUAGAUGGUUGCAAUUUUUUUUUAAUCCUCAUUAAUUAUUUUUUAAAUGACUAUAUUAUUUGCUAUAGAGAAUACUCCAUCUCUAUACCUAAAUUUAACACUUGAAGAAAAAUUUUCUUCGGCUUUGAACCCCGUGAAACUCGGUUGCAUUAGAAGUUACAAAUAAAAAUGAUUUCAUUACUUUAAUAAGAUAAUAUGAGAGUAUUUGAUAUAUAAAAUUAAUAAAUGAACAUAGUCUAAUAUUUAAUUUAAUUUAUUAACCAUAUUAUGGAUUUUUUAAUUAAUUUAUUUAAUGUCAAAAAAUCUUUUUUUAGGUCUAAUAAACCCAAAAAAAAAAAAAAUUAAAACAUGUUAGGUAUUGUUUUGUUUAAUUGUUAUUAGAUUAUUAGAAAACAAUUUGGGAGUAGUUAUUAAUCGUUUUCAAAAACAAAAUUAUAUUUGAUAUUUUAAAAAUAGUUCAUUGAUUUUGUUCUCAAUGAAAGUACCAUAAACUUUAACAUAAAAUAUAAUUUUUUUUCUAAAUGUGUUCUAUAUUUUUAAUUGUUUAUUAAGACAUUUGAAAAUAUGUUAAAUUUAUUUUCAAAAUAAUAUGUUAUCAAAAUAAAUUUUGAAAAACGGUUUUGUUUCAAAAGUCUACCAACUAUUUUCUAGGUUGGAAAAUUGGUUUUAGUUAUACAAUAAUAAUUUCCAUACGGAUGCUUGAGAUAUGGAUUUAGUACCAUAUUAAAUUUAUGUAUUUAAAUAUAAAUCAUUGAAUAAAAAUAUAGCAAAAAAAAAGAUAUUUAAAUGUAAAUAUAUUGGACCACGUUAUAAAAAAAUAAAAAAAACAAGAGAACGAGACUAUUACAAGUAUCGAAGUAUGAAAUUCAAGGUGCCCACAUAAACCUUUUUUAUUGAGCACCAUUCUAUAUAAAGAUUUAUUUGAAAACUUAUUUUGAAAAUAGCUUUGUGUUUAAAUGUCUUUAUAGUUGAGAAACAAUAAAUUCAUAUUUCCUUUUUUUUCAACUUCCAUGCAAUACCUAUAGAGUCACUGUGAUUCUUGCAAAUGAGUUGAACUUGAAUCCCAAAAGUGAAUAAAAAAUUGGAUCUACAUUGAAUUGUCUUGUUGAUCUACGUUAAAUUGCCUCAUCAAUUCUUUUGAGUAAAAACUUGAUCUUAGACUUAAUUCAAACAAAAGGAGUACAUUAUGCUAAUGUAUCUUGAAUGAUCCACAUCUCAAGGUAGUUGGCCCAAUAUAUCGGGAUGAUUGGCUUAAUGAGCAUAGGGGUGGUUGACCCAAUAAGCACAUUGAAGAAUUAAUGUGACUAGUCUUGAUGUUUUUAUAGGGAUGGUAAUGGAUAAGUUUUUUUUGUACCAUCUAUGCCCAUGGGACAAAUUUGAAAGAAAUGUAUAUUGAAUGGGCUUUAUUGUUGUUUUUUCUUAAAAAAAAAAAAAAACUAGAGUCAUCAAAGAAGGUUUUCUUACCAAACCUAAUUAUAUAAAAUUAGAUAAAAAUAAUUUCAUUUCAUUUUCUUUUGACAAAAUUAAAAUUAAAAAUUUUGAAAAAUAAUUUAAAAAUUAAAGGAGAUAUGAGAGAGGUAAGCAUGGGAAAUUGCUAGGGUGCAACUUGGGCGGGUUGGAUUGGGCCAACCCAAACCUAACCCUCUAUUUGGACGGGCUUAGAUAGAUGUUUUUAAUAUUUGGGUUGAACUUGUAUUAAGUUUUCUCAAUAUGAACCCAACCCAAACCGGUUUAAUGUUUUUAUACUUGUAUAAUAAUAUUCAUCUCCUUUUCAAAUUUUAAAAAUAUCAAAUUAUAAAUAUAUCAUAUACUUCUCAUUUAUAUAUAUAUAUAUAUAUAUAUAUAUAUAUAUAUAUAAGUUUAUUUUUAUUAUAAAAUAUGAAAUUUUGUACCACUAUGGUAACUUAUGGAUGAUCAUCCAUAAAUAUAUUUUAUAACUCUUUAUAAAAGGAAGAGACUUCUAAUGAAAUUUAAUAGAGUUUUCUAAUACAUUCUAUUAUCUCUUUCUUGAUUUCUUCUUCUCUCAUUUUGUUUUAUAAUAAUUUUUACUUUUUUAUUGUUAUCUUGAAAUUUUGUCUUAUUUUUUAUAUAAAUAUAUAUAAUUUAAAAAAAAAACCAUUAUGAAUAAAUUUUAAAUUAUGCAACCCAACCAAUUCCACUCUUGUCCAAUCAACUUGAGUUUAAUUCUAUUAACCCAAUUUUAAUCCAAGUUUAAAAAAACAAGAUUGAGCACUUCAAGUUAGAAAUCGGAUUAAAUUGAGUUUGGGUUAAUCAUUUCUUAAUUUAAAUUAAACUCAAGUUAACUUUCAACCUAUUCAAGUUGUAACCUUAGAAAUUCUAUACCUAUCUCAAUCUACCAUUUUUUAGUUAAAACUUUUUUUAGGAUGGAAAUAUGAGUAAUUUUAAAUAAUAUAAGUACCCAUCCUCAUCCAUUGAGUUGCUAUCCCUAGUGUUUUUAUAGGAUUGCCACCCUCUAUUUUGAGUAUUUUUAGAAGAUUGUCGGUCUCGUUAUUAGCUCAUAUUUAUAGUUUAAUCCUCUUGGAGACUCCCGUUCUACUUGUACAGUCACUUAUAUGUUUUUUUAUCCAUCUCCCUUUGGAAAAUGAGAGGAAAAGACAAUGCAAGAACUCUAUGGUCCAUAAAGACUCGGCGUGGAGGAAUGGUGACGUCACUUUCUAGUACAAUGGGCCAAACUUUUUUCUCAUUUUCCACUAGGUGGGUGCCUUUUAAAAUCUUUAAAUUUUUAUUUUUUAUUUUUGUUCAUUCUUUAUUAAUUCCUUCUCCACUUUCUAAUUCCUUCGCCCGGAGGUUUCCCCUUUGGUUAAAGUUAAUCAUUAAAGGUAAAAAAAGAUUAAAUAAAAUAACAUUUUCAUUAAUAAUCGCAUUAAAGUGAAUCAUCAAAGUUAAUAUGAUUAAAUAAUAUAAUAUUUUGACUAAUAAUUAAGGAUUUAAUUAAAAAUUAUUCUUGAAAUUAGUUUUAUAUCACUUCUUAAUUGUUUUUAGAAAUAGAAUUACAUUUGAUAUUUGAAAAAUAGUUUUUUUUUUUAUCUUAUUUUUCAUUAAAGUAUUAUUAGCAUAAAAGUUUUUAAAAUAUUACUUAUAUUUUCAAUUAUUACUCAAAACACUUUAAAAGUAAUAAACGAAAAUAUCUUAAAUUUGUUCUCAAAACAAUUCAUCUUUAAAAUAAUUUUUCAAAAAACUAUUUUUUUUUUCAAAAGUCUAUUAAAAUUGUUUUCUAAGUUAGAAAAUUGCUUUCAAUUAUAAAAAUAGAGGUUGUUCAAAAAUGUUUUUGAAAACAAUAUUAAAAAAUAUUUGUAUGAUAAUUUCUAAAACAAAAUUUUGUUUAUAAAUUUGAAAUGUUUUAAUUUAUUUUGUGUAUUUAAAUAUUCCUUAAAAAUAUUUUUUUUAUAUGUAUUGAUUGUUAUUUAAAAAAGUUUUAAAAAACAAGAAAAACCAUUAUAUAUUCUAAAGAAAAUAAAUCAUAUUUUUAUAAUAAUUCUCAAAAACCUAUUUUGGGAUAACCAAUAAAAAAACAAAUUUUGAUUUUUUUUUUUUUGUUAAAAUAGCUCAAAAAUAUAACCUAAAAGGUUGUUUUCAAAAAUAGUUUUAAAAUAUAUCCUUAGCAUAUGGAUUUGGUAUCAUAUCAAAACUCAAAAUAUGAAUCUUUAUGUGUAUGAUUAAAAAUAUAUCACUAAGUAAAAAUAUAAAAAAAAAUGAAAUAUUUAUAUAAAUAUAUAGGACCAAAUUAUCAGGGAAAAAAAACAUUAAAAGUAUAAACAAAUGAAAUUUGUAGUUUUUGUAUAAACAUUUUAGCCUAAGUAGUGUUAUAUAUAUAUAUAUAUAUAUAUAUAUAUAUAUAUAUAUAUAUAUAUAUAUAAAGGCUUAUUUGGUAAUGGCUAAUAAUAAGUUCUAUUUGGAAAACAUUUAUUUAUUUACAAAAAAACAGAUUUGAUCAAUUUUUAUUAUUAUUGAAUAUAUAUAUAUAUAUAUAUAAUAACAAAUUUGAGUUGUUUUAGAAAAACAAUUGAAAAUAUGAUAUUUAAAAAAAUUUUACAUUAUGUAUUAUGUACAGGUGUAUAAUACAUGGAAUAAGCUUUCCAAAUUAAAUUCUUUAAGAAAAUUUUGUUUGUAAAAUAAAUUGAGAAGUAUUUUAUGUAAUAAGAGUUUUUUUUAAAAAAACUCUGUAAAAAUUUAUAUUUAGGAAAAUUGCUAAGUUAUCAAAUAGUUAUUAUAUCAACCACUAAAUCUAAAUUAUUGAUCUUCAUAAUUAAAUUUGAAUGAUUGAAUAAAUGUAACAUGAAAUGGGAUCAUAAUGGAAAAUUAGGAAUCAGGUAUAAAAGAAUAAGCUUCUCAAAUGGAAAUUCAUUCAAUUAUAAAUUUCUCCAUUUUUGGAUAUAUUUUUCAAUCACAAUUCUAUAGUUUUUUAUACGAUUUAUCUUUAUUUAAAAAAUAAAAUAAAACAUGCCUUUUUCUUCACUGUAAUUCGUUGAAUCAAAUUUUUAUAAGAUUUAGUAAUUAUUUUAAAUUAGAAAUUUCAAACAAAAAAAUCGGAUAAUAUAAAAUUAGGUAGAAAUAAAUACAAAUAAAUCUAUUUUACACGUGGUCGUUUAUUAUUGGGCAUAUCGAAAAUAAUCAAAAUACACCACUUUUAAAUCUCACUCCCCACAUGCAAGGACGAUUCCAAAUUUCCAACUUCAUGGAACCACACCUCGUAGACCCGAGCAAGUCUCCUCGUCCGUACGUCUCGCCCCUUUUUUUUCUCUUUCUUUAGUUGAUGUCGAUUCCGUUGAUUGCUUACUUCCUUCACAAGUUUUGCUUCUUUACUAAGUUUCUCACAUUCUAGUCCACACAAAACGACGAUGGAUUGGACAUUCUUUAAAUGCGUCUCUUUUAUAUAUGUAGACACUUCUGUGUGUUGCCAUUCAGUGCCCUUGGCAUCUUUCUACUGAGAGUGAAGACUGAGAGUGCUUUGUGUGAAUCGAGAAGGAGGAGUGGUCGUAAUGGCGACGCCGGAGGAGCAUAUAAAGGAGAUAAGGAGGACGAAGUUCUCGAUUGGAGGAGAGCUGAAUCCGCUGACGGAGGAUCUUCACCAGGCGGUGAAGAAUCUCUCAGCUGAGCUUUACGCUAAGGAUGUUCAUUUCCUCAUGGAACUCAUUCAGGUCUGUGCUUUAUAUGUUUGUCUUGUUGUUUUUAGAGAUGUGAUGAGCACUCUGCGUUGUAUGCAGCCAUUGUUUUGUCAUGUUAUUUAAAAUUUUGAGCGCUUUGAGCGCUGCUCUGUUCCUCUGCUAGAAAACCAAGGAAAAUGACGGUUAUGAGACUUUUGAAUAUUUUGUUUUCUUUAUAUGGUAUUUGUUUCUUGGAGAUGACUAACUAGAGAUUCAUAAUUAUAUGAUAUAUCUUUGAAGUAAAAAUCAACUUAGGAAAGUAUAUGAUAUAUUUAUAAUUUGAUAUUUUUAAAAUUUAAAAAGGAGAUGAAUAUUAUUAUACAAGUAUAAAAACACUAAAUCAGGUUUGGUUUUGGUUCGUAUUGAGAAAACUUUAACACAAGUUCAACCCAAAUAUUAAAUCGGUGCACUAACUUUCUGAAGAAUAUGUUACUUAUCUAUUAUUCUAAUUCGAUCAUUAUGAUCGGAAAGUGAAGUGAUAUGGAUUGAGAAUUAGUUUUGCACUAACUUUUUGAAGAAUAUGUUACUUAUCUAUUAUUCUAAUUCGAUCAUUAUGAUCGGAAAGUGAAGUGAUAUGGAUUGAGAAUUAGUUUUGUUACAUUCAAACUUCGGUUACAUUUUUUUGGUCUUGGAAAAUCUAAAUGUGAAGAAAUCACAUAUUCUAAAUUUUACAUAACAGAAUGCAGAAGAUAAUGACUACCCGGAAGGUGUAAAUCCAUCACUGGAGCUCGUUAUAACUUCACAGGACAUAACUGGCACUGGAGCAUCCGCGACAUUGUUGAUUUUCAACAACGAAAAAGGGUUUUCAGCUAAAAAUAUUGAGUCUAUCUGCAGUGUUGGGAGGUCCACCAAGAAAAACAAUAGGAAGUGUGGCUAUAUUGGAGAGAAAGGUACCUUCAUUUUUUUACUCUUUCGCUCAUAUCUCUCCAUCUUCCAUGCUGUAAAUUUUAAAACGAAACAGAGCAAGCUCUAACUCUCUGUCUGCAAAAAGAAAUUCUUUCUUUUCGAUAAUCCCUAGUCAACGAUAGACUGUCUCCCGAUUGUCUCUGUGAAACAAUCGGAAGACAACAAGGAUUAGAUAAAAUGAGAAAUAGAGGUAUGUGAUAGUAGAAAGUGAUCUAUCUUGGUUCUAUAUUUUUAUGCAUUUCAUUAAUACUGGGAACAAAAGAAACAAGGGGUCUUAUUAUUCUUACAUGUUCAUUAGUAACAUUCCCUUGAUACUUUCCAAGGGUAUCACUCGUAUUUUGCUUAUGCUUAAUGUUUUCUGAUUCUACUAGAAAUCUUAUAAGAACUUGUUUUGUUAUAAGUGGAUUUAUGGGAUUGGUUCUUCAAUGGUCUUGGGUCAGAAUCCUAUUUUGACUCUGCAUCAUCGAUUCCACUAUUAUUAGUGAGCAAUAAUGGAAAAAUUCUUUCAUAUUCAUAGAAAUAAGGGACAUAAUUUACAUGGAUAUAGUAAGUUUCGCUUGGGCUGCUUUAAUGGUAGUCUUUACAUUUUCUCUUUCACUCGUAGUAUGGGGAAGAAGUGGACUUUAGAGGUACUAUUGAUUCAGUUGAGAAUCUUUAACUACAGAUCAAGUAUAUCCUCAAUUCUUAGAACCUCUAGUGUAGAAACACUUUAUUCAUGUCAAAAAGUUAGCUUAAUCAAUUCAGCUAGACACCCCAACUUUGGUCUUUACUAAGUCAACCUUCUCCUUUGCUUAACUUGCUAGCCUAAGAUGUACACGACUUAAAAGCUAAAAUGAAAACUGUGGGCAAGACUUUUGGUCUUUACUAAGUCAACCUUCUCCCUUGCUUAACUUGCUAGCCUAAGAUGCACACGACUUAGAAGUAUUUCUUAUACAACUUGUCGUCUUGCUAAUAUGCAGGAAUUGGGUUCAAGAGUGUAUUUCUAAUCACAGCACAACCUUACAUAUUCAGUAAUGGAUAUCAGAUACGAUUCAAUGAAGAGCCUUGCCCGCACAGCAAUCUUGGGUACAUAGUCCCUGAAUGGGUUCAGUGGAAUCCAACUCUUGAUGACAUAAAGCAAAUAUACGGUUCUCAUGCAGUCCUUCCAACCACUACCAUAAUCUUGCCUCUAAAGCCUGACAAGAUCGGCCCUGUGAAGGAACAGCUCUCAAGUAUUCAACCUGAAGUUCUAUUAUUUCUUUCAAAGAUUAAGCAGUUUUCUGUCAAGAAACAUAAUGAGGAUCCCAGGCUCAAUACGGUGAAUGCUAUAUCUAUUUCAAGUGAAAUUAACUUUGUUAAAAGGAAGAAUAUUGAUGCUGAUUCCUAUAUUCUCCAUCUCUCCACGGAUGGAGCUAAGGAUGUGACUGAAAAAGAAUGCAGCUAUUAUAUGUGGAGGCAGAAGUUCCCUGUCAGGCAGGAAAAUCAAGUAGAAAGAAGACUUGGAGUGGAGGAGUUGGUUAUUACGCUGGCAUUUCCAUUUGGACAGCGACUGAAUAGAGGGAUAAGCUCUCCAGGAGUCUAUGCAUUUCUUCCCACGGAGAUGGUUACAAAUUUUCCUUUCAUUAUUCAGGCAGAUUUUGUUCUUGCAUCAUCCAGGGAAACAAUCCUCUUGGACAACAAAUGGAACCAAGGCAUUCUAGAUUGUGUGCCUUCUGCUUUUCUUAAUGCCUUCAUUUCACUGGUUACAACAUCACAAGAUGUUCCAGUCUCUACACUGACCCCAAUGUUUAAGUUCUUGCCUAUCUACAGCUCUCCUUAUCCAAAGCUCAAUGAUGUGAGGGAGUUGAUCAAAGCAGAACUGCUUAAGAAGAAUAUCGUACCAUGUGAGUCGUAUUCAGACCAGAAGAUCUUUCGUAAACCUUGUGAAGUGGGUAGGUUAAUGCCUUCUUUCUGGAAUAUCCUGAAAAAGGCAAGGAAGCAAGGGGUAAGUUUGCAUUCUCUGUCAUCCCAUGGAAAGUAUAUUCUGAAUUCUUCAUUUGAUACAGAGGAGUACGAUCACAUAUUGAAUUUCCUUGGUGUGGAACCUGUCAAUAGCGAAUGGUAUGCCAAGUGUAUCAAGAGUUCCAAUCUUGUUUUGGGAGUGACAGAGGAUGGUUAUUUGGAGCUUCUACUCUUUAUUGCUGAGAAAUGGAGUUCCUCUUUCUACAGCACCGACAUGAAGAAUGUUCCUCUCCUAAAAUAUGUUGGUCCUGAUGGAAAUGUUGUUUUGUGCGCUACAAGCAAUGUCACAAUGUGGAAUGGUGAAAGUACGAUUUGUAUGUCCCGUGAGUCUCAGCAUAUUUCAUGGUUGAUAGACUGGAACAGGGAAUUUAGACGUGUGACAGAUCGAUAUUUUGUGCCCAAAAGCACACAAGAAGCUAUCAGGUCUUUUUUUAAGAGAGAGACUCUCUUGGAAUGGCUUCAAAAUCAAGUGAAGGUUCGGGCUGUAAGUGUGAAAGACUUUGCAGUCAUUCUUUGUAAUUCUCUUAAGGGUGACCGACAGCUUGCUAUCGCCUAUGUUCACUUCCUUUAUCAUUCCCUCUCGAAGAGUUAUCUACCAAAGGGGGAUGUUGACAAUUUGUGUGGUAUCAUGCCACUUGUAGAUAACUAUGGGCAUGUGAGCACUCAGAGAAAAGGGGUUCUCGUUCCUGCUAACGGAAGCAAAUGGGUGGGAUUAAUGGGUACAAAUCCGUGGAGGGGAGCAGGCUAUGUUGAGCUGGGAGAAGACUAUUUGCGCUCAGGCAGUUAUGCAGGUUUAUUCACAUCAGAGAUGCAACUAAUGACGUUUCUCAAAACUCAUGUUGCAGCUUCUGAUAUACCUCAUAUAUCUCCUCCCGACGCCGAGUUAUCUGCCGCAUAUGCACCACUCACCAAGCAAAAUGCAUUCUUGCUGUUGGACUGGAUUCACAACCUGAAAUAUAAGCAAGGUCUGCCAGCUAAGUUCCUGACAUCCAUUAAGAAGGGAAGCUGGUUCAAAAUUUCCCUCAGUGGCAGUCCUGGAUAUAGGCCACCAUCAGAGUCUUUCCUGCUUGCUUCAUCAGAUGAAAAUCUUCUGCAGGACGAGUCAGUAAUGGUUGAUAUUCCUUUGAUUGACCAAGGAUUUUAUGGAAAUGGCAUCAAUUGUUAUAAGGAGGAGCUCAAAACUGUUGGAGUAAUGUUUGAAUAUGGCGAAGCCUGUGAGUUUAUAGGGAGGCACCUCAUGUCUCUUGCAGCUUCCUCUGCGUUGACUAAAUCCAGUGUGUUUGAAAUACUCAAGUUCAUCAGAUUUUUGAGACUUAGAUUUCUUCCGGCUGAUAAAUUCAUCCAGAGUAUCAUAAAUGGAAGAUGGUUGAAGACUUCCUGUGGUCACAGGUCUCCAGUUGGAUCUGUUUUAUUUGACCAAGAAUGGAAAGCUGCAUCACAAAUCAGUGACAUCCCCUUCAUCGACCAAGAUCACUACGGCAAGGAAAUCCUUCGUUUCAAAAUGGAACUCCAAUUGCUAGGUGUGGUAGUUGGCUUCAACAAAAAUUACCAGCUUGUUACUGAUCACUUAAAGUCUCAAGCAUGCUCAAAUCAUCCAACAGCCGAGGCUAUUCUUUUGAUAUUUGAAUGCAUGCGUGAUUGUGAGCGCAAUUCAAGAUCAGCCCAUAAACUUAUACAGGCGCUUAAAGGUAAUAAAUGCUUGAAGACGAACAUGGGCUACAAGUUUCCUAGUGAAUGUUUCCUGUUUAAUACUGAGUGGGAUUCGCUUCUGAAAGUCUUCCAUAAUGAUUUCCCACUUAUUGAUGAAGACUUCUAUGGGACCAGCAUCUUGUCUUACGAAAAAGAGUCGAGGCAAGCGGGAAUAGUGGUGGAUUUUGAAGCAGCGACUCAGAAAUUUUUAGCUGUUUUCAAGAAGCAUGCAUCCUCGUCUUCCAUUGGAAGAGAACAUGUUCUGUCUUUUCUCAGGUCUUACAGACAGAUUGAUAAGACAAACAAGUUUCCUUCAGAUUUUAAGCGCGACAUCUGUCAGGCAAAAUGGCUGCAAACACGGCUUGGUGUUCCUAGAUCACCGAGAGAGUGCAUUCUUUUUGGCCCGGAGUGGGAACCUGUAAGUUCAAUUACUGUGCUUCCUUUCAUUGAUGAUAGUGACAAGUACUAUGGCAAGAGAAUUCAUGAAUAUAGUAAAGAGCUGAGGAGCCUGGGUGUUACCAUCAAGUAUAAAGAUGGGGUGAGGUUUGUGGCUGCAGGUGUCUACUUUCCCCAAGAUCCCAGCACCAUAACUCCUGAAAGUGUGUUCUCUCUGCUGCAGUGCAUCCAGAUAUUAAUGAAAGAUGGUUAUACUUUGACUGAUGCUUUCCGGAAAAAGGUUUCUCAAAGUUGGUUAAAAACCAAUGCUGGGUAUAGGUCUCCAGGCCAAAGUUUGUUGUUUGGCUCUGAGUGGGGUUCUUUCUUACACAGAAACGAUGGACCUUUCAUUGAUGAAGAAUUCUAUGGCCCCAACAUUACAGCCUACAAGAACGAGCUCGAAGAAAUAGGAGUGACCAUUGAUGUGUUAAAUGGGUGCUCUUUGCUUGCUGGCUAUCUUGAUUUUCAUUCUGAAUUUUCAACCAUUGUUCGAGUCUAUAAUUACUUGAAUAAACACGGCUGGUCGCCUUGCAAUGAUACUCCUAGAAGGAUCUGGAUCCCUAAUGGGAGUGACAGUGGAGAGUGGGUUAGUCCUGAAAAAUGUGUUAUUCACGACAAGGAUGGUCUCUUCAGUUCACGACUGAAUGUUUUAGAGAAACACUAUAAGCCGGAAUUAUUCAGCCUUUUCUGCAGAGUCAUGCAAGUUAAAUCCAAUCCUUCUAUUGAUGACUACUGCGAACUUUGGAAUAACUGGGAAAAUUCAAGGGAGCAAUUGUCACGUUCGGAGUGUUGUGCUUUCUGGGCCCAUGUUUCAAAGCACUGGAGUAAAAACACACAGAAAACCCUUGCCGACAGAUUGUCAAAACUGCCAGUUGAAUCAGGAUCGGAGAGAAUAAUGCUGUUUGACAAACGUGAUGUUUUCAUUGCAGAUGACCUCCAGCUGAAGUAUCUUUUCCAACAAUCUUCGCCUCACUCAAUAUUUGUGUGGUAUCCCCAGCCAAGCAUCCCUUCCUUGCCCCGGACUAAGCUGCUUGACAUCUACAGGGAAAUUGGUGUUCGUUCUAUCUCUAAAUCUGUACAGAAGGAAGAAAUCUCCAAGUUGGAGGCCAGUGAACUCAAGCAAGCGUCUCAGAAGGAAACUUUGAUCGGAAAAGGCCUGCUGAAACUCAUUCUUGGCUUUCUCGCUGGUCCUUCUAUUGAAAUGGAAGCAGGACAAAGGCUGGACGCUGUCAAAGGCCUUCUCAAUCUUAAGGUGUUUGAGACGGAGGAGUCAAUUGCAGCAAGCUAUAGAUUGUCAAUGUCUUCAGGGGAAACCAUGGCCGUUGAUGCAAGACGAAUGAUGCGCUGGGACCGGGAGGAUUCCAAUCUUUUCAUGCAGAAGAUGGAGAUAUCGGGUGGACAUAAAAAUAAAAUCGAAUAUGGUACAAUCUUCGCUGAAGUAAUAUCAGAGGGCGUCUUACAGGAGAAAGAAGACCAUAUACCUGAUCUCGCCGAACUGAUCAUGUUGGCAUUCCUCCUGGAUUUUGAUGAGGAAGCAGUUGGGUUCUUAAUGAGAUCCAAGAAUCUCCAAGUUUUCUUGGAGGACGAGGAGUUUCUCUCCUCAGCCCUUCCUGUCGACUAGGUAUCAUUUUCCUUAUAUUUACCCCCUGUUUGCAGUCUCUACUGGUAUGUGCUAUUAGAAUAUUAAUAUGUAAUAUAUAUGAAUCUGGUGUGUAGUAAACCUGAUAUUGUGAUAAUUAUGUCCUUGUGCUUGCCUUUUUAAGUAAAGGAGAUGUUAAGAUAUCCUAAUUUUUCCAUUUGUUUUCAAACAAUGCUAUGUUUGGUCCCCAAAAAAUAUGAGGGAGAAUGUGAGGGAAAAAAACUUAAAGAAAAAAAGUAAAAAAUAAAAAAUAGAUUUAAAAUUAAUAAAUUAUUUUAUAAUUAUUUCAAAUCCAUUUAACAUAUUUUUUCUUUUCUAUGUAAAGAUUAAAUCAUUUUAAAAUAUAUAAAUUUUUAACUAAUUAUAAUUAUAUUGGAUUUUCUUUUAUAUUUUUCAUAUUGUAAUCACACAUGAGAAAUUUAUUUUCUUUAAUAAUUUUUUUCUUAAUACUUUUUGGGAACAAAAAAAAAAAACUUAUAUUAUAAGAAUUGAACUUAACAUAUCAAAUUAUAAAAAUAAAAUUACAAUAUAUCAUCCUCAAAAUAGAUGGUUGCAAUUUAUCUUUUUUUGUCAUCAUUAAUUAUUUUUUAAAUAAGUCUAUUAUUUGCUAUAUUGAAUACUCCAUCUCAAUACCUAAAUUUAUCACUUGAAGAGAAUUUUUCUCCCCCUUUUGACCCACUUCUCUCGUAACCACUUUGAAAGAUUUUUCCUGUUAUAUUUAGAGCCCGUUUGGUAAUGAUUCUAGUGGAAGUGUUUUUAUUUUAAGUGUUUUCUGUUAUAGUGUUUCUGUGAAAAACACUUUUAUGAUAAUCAGAAAAAAUGAUUCUAAAGUGUUUUUGAUAAUAUAUUGUAUAAAUAUAAAAACACUUUUAAUAUUAAUAAAUUACCAAAAAGGACAUACAAUUUUAAUUAAAAAAAUGAUAUGAUAAACAAAAAAACUUUUUAUUAAUGAAAAAACAUCUAAAUCACUAAAAAAAUAACAUUAAAUAAAAGAUAAUUUUAAAAUUAAAACAAUAUAUGAUUACCUAUUAAUUUCUAUAAAAAAAAAAGACUUUUUUAAUUAAAAAUAAUAAUUUUUUUAUCACUAUACUAAAAUUUUAAAAAAUAUUUACAAAAAACAUCUAAAUCAAUAAAUAAAUAAAAACAUUGAAUAAAAGAUAAUUUUAAAAGUAAAACAAUAUAUGACCACCUAUUAAUUUCUAAAAAAAAAAAAGAUUUUUCUAAUUGAUUUAUCACUGGGGGCAUUUUUGGAAUAUUUCAAAAAAAUUGAAGUGUUUUUUUAAAAAAAAUGAUUCUCUAAAAAUCACCUCAAGUGUUUUUCCAGAUUUUAAAAAGUGUUUUUUAAAAUUUGCCAAACACUUUAUUUUCAUCCCAAAAACACUUAAAAGUGUUUUUAAGGGUAGAAACACUUUUAAAAAUCACUGCCAAACGGGCUCUUAGUGUUUCUUUUUUAUUAAAUGUUCUUGAAUUAUUAUUGCUCAUUUUUGUUAAAUUGUUAUUAUUGAUGAGCGGUGGUUAUUGUUAUUGAUGAAUCUUUUAACCGAAUACUUUAAAUCUCUUCUUUAACUUUCAAUUAAGUAUAUUUAAAAAAAUAAAAAAUGAGAAGUAAAUUAAUUUAAAGUAAAUUUAAAAUUUUCCAUAAAAUUUAUCCAUCAUUUUCCAACUUUACACUUUUAAAUAUAAUUUAUUUCUAAUUUUAAAAAGUAUUAAAGAUUUAUAUUUUUCUUCAAUCACAAUUCCCACCAAACUAGAUUUUUGUUGGAUUAAUUUUUGUUUUCAAAUAUCAUAAUGAUAGUCAUGUUUAAUUACAAGAGCACCUUUAAACUAGUGUUUUUACUUUUUGAAACACAAAAUUGAAUAGGAUAGAAUUAAGAAUAAAAAAAAUGAGAUCUAAAUUCAAUAUAAAUAAAUUUAAACUUUCCACGUGGCUGUUAAUUAUUGGGCAACACUCCGAAAAGCUCCGACUUUAAAAUCUCACCGUUCGCCUCCUAGGAGACCUGAGCAAGUCUCCUUGCCCGUACACCCCCUUUUCCUCUGUCUUACUCUUUCGCGUAGACGUCGACUUCGUUGGUUACUUACUACUUUCUCCACAGGUUUACUUCUCCACUAAGUUUAUCACUCUCAAAACCACAAGGAUUUGGCAUUGGAUUGCGUGUCUCAAAGUGUGUAUAUAUAAUUAUGUAUAUGUAUGACACUUCUUCGGUGUGAUGUCGUUUGGUGCUCUUGGCAUCUCUCUACUAAGAGUGAAGACUGAAGAGGAGUACUUUGAGUGAAUCGAGAAGGAGUAGUAAUGGCGACGCCGAAAGAGCAUAUAGAAGAGAUAAGGAGGACGAAGUUCUCGAUCGGAGGAGAGCUGAAUCCUCUGACGGAGGAUCUUCACCAGGCGGUCAAGAAUCUCUCUGCUGAGCUUUACGCUAAGGAUGUUCAUUUCCUCAUGGAGCUCAUUCAGGUUUGUUUUUAAUACGUUUCUCUUGUUUUUUGAGAUGUAAUCGGCACUGUGUUGUAUGCGGGGAUUGUUUUGUUAUAUUAUUUAAUAUUUUGACCCUUGUCUUGUUCAUCAGUUCCGUUGUCAGAAAACGGAGGAAAAUGAAACGUAUGGAACUUUUGUGUAUUUUGUUUUCUUCAUGUGGUUUUUGUUUCUUGGAGGUGACGGACUGGAGAUUGUACUUCCAAAAUAGCUCUGAAUGGAGAGGAGUUUUUCCAUAUAUUUUUUUCCUUUCCUUGGUAUGCUAAUGAAUUACUUUGGAAAAUCAUUUGGUUUUGAUUUCCAACAUAGACCAAAGAAUCAGGCAUGUAUUGUUUUGAUUCUGACCAGAAUGUGAUCUAGCUGAGAUUUAGUUUUGUUACAUUCAAAUUUCAGUUACAUUUUUUUUUUCUUUUGGAUAAUCUACAUGUGAAUUAACCAAAUAUGGUGAAUUUUGCAUAACAGAAUGCAGAAGAUAAUGAGUACGGGGAAGGAGUGAAUCCAUCGCUGGAGCUAGUUAUAACUUCACAGGACAUAACAGACACUGGAGCACCGGCGACAUUGUUGAUUUUCAAUAACGAGAAGGGGUUUUCAGCUAAAAACAUAGAGUCUAUAUGCAGUGUUGGGAGGUCCACCAAGAAAAGCAACAGGAAGCAGGGUUAUAUUGGAGAGAAAGGUACCUCCAUUCCUUGAUUCUUUCACUCAUAUUUUUCCCUUUUUAUGGUGUAAAUUUGAAAAGGAAACAGAGGAACGCCUACCUCUCUAUACUAAGCUUUAACUACAGAGCAGGUAGAUCCUCAAGUCUUAGAACUUAUAGAGUAAAAACACUUUAAUCGAGUCAAAAGUUAGCUUGAUCAAGUCAGCUAGAGCUUUCUUUCUUAUUAUCUUGAAUUAUGUGUUUGUAUAAGUUAUUUUUGGUUGUUCAGAACCAUCUAGUUAACCUCUAAUUUACAAACUUCUUAAUGGAGGUUGAGCAUUUGAAGUUCUUUUAAGAUAUGACGAUUGCCUGUAUUGUUCUCAUAAUUAGGAGAAAAUUUGGAGCUUGAAAAUUUAUCUAUGCAUCAUACAUGAUACUAAUGGAACUUGAAUUCACUAUGAUACAUAAAGUCUCAAAUGUCAUUUAAAUGACACAACAUAGGGAAGAAAUGAAAACGUAAGGCUUUAUCUAUUACAGUAGCUUACCAACAUCGAAUCUUGGUUCACUUUACCUACAAACAACAAUAUAGGGUGGUAAUGAAGAUCGAAGGGGCUAAUGCGUUUGGAUGGAUUAUUGGUUAAUUUUUGAAAACAUGACUGAUUCAACAUUAAGUCAAUGCAGUGUAGGCAUUAUAUUGAAACAUAUGCAACAGUUUAACAUACAAUCUAGGAUAAUCCUAUAAAUAUUAGGGAAAAUAAAUAAACUGGAUAAAAAUAAAACGAAAAAUGUACCAAUGAGAUUCCAGAUUCCCUCCCUUGCUUUCUGUAUGUGGUUCCCAAUGCUUACCCUUCCCCAUAAAGAAUGGUAUUAGAGCCUUAAAUCUUGAAUUGCUUUUCUUCUAGUGAAAUAUAUGCAUUUUAAAAUGCAGAUAUGAGAUAUAGAAUGCCCAUAUAUAAAUUUACCUUAGAAAUAUUAAGAAUAUGAAAGGAAGUUCUCAACAACAUGUGUGUUAGUACAAGUCAAAUAGGUGUACAAUAAAUGGAAUUGUUUCAUAUGCAUGGAGAUGCAUGAAUUCAAUAAUAGGAAACCAUCAGAAUGAUAUGACAGCAAAGUUGGCUUUGCAAUUAAAAUCCAACACUAACUGACCUUUUUUUUAAUUUGUAAUUACAAUCAUGUUGUUGGUGUUCCAGAGGAUCAUUUGAAGCAAAAUAUAUGAGCUCUUCCUAUAGCAGGCAAAUCAUGAUUAUCCCAAAUACUUAACUUUGUGCAGUGUGCUAACCUAAAAACACCCCCACCAAUGAAUUGUCCUAGUUUUCCCUCCUUUGAAAUUGGCUUUCUAUUAUUUUUCCCCAAAGCCAUUAACAAAAACAGAGUAGGCAUUUCCUUUCUGAUCUUUGAUGUUUUUUUAUGCAUGUUGUAGGACUCUUAUGGCCAUCUCAUGCGUUCAGUCCUUGAUUCCUGGAUUCCUUCCAUCAUAUUUUUACAUUCUUUAGUUACAGAUUUAUAUGCCACAAUUGCUGUAUUUUUAAAGGGAAACAGAGUAGCCCUUUACUCUCAUCCCUAAGCUUUAAGUAUCAGGUAGCUAGAUCCUAAUGUCAUAGAACUUGUGGAGCCAAAACAGUUUCUUCAAGUCAUAAGUUCGAUUGAUGAACACAGAUGGCUUUAUAUUUUCCUUAUUAUCUCAUAUUAUAUCUUUUUGUGAGUCAUUUUCAGUUGAGUAGAACUAAAUAAACUUAUUCAUUGAGCUGACGUGUUCAAGGGGAUGUUUUUUAUUUUCAGAAGCAUGCCUAAGAACAUUUGUGUAUGUACCCAUAACUAGGGGAGCAUUUGUGACUAGAACAUUUAUUAAUACAUGAUACAAGAUACUAAGAGAGCAUGAAUUCCCUAAGUUGACAUUGUAGUUACUUGGGAAGGGGUGGAAAUGGAGAUCAAAGGGCUCUAUCUCUUAAGGUUGAUUUCCUUAAGCUACAUAAAGACAUCAAUUUGAGUAGACUCGACUUAGUUGACUCAAUGCAGAAGAUUAGACAUUAAAUAUUGAAACAUUAGUAGCAAUUUAACAUAUAAUUUAGGUUAAUUAUAUAAAUAUUAAGAAAACUGAAUAUACGAAAUUAAACUGACAAGCAAAGGUAUUAGAACCUUAAAUCUUGAAUUUUAUUUCCUUCAUUGAUAUUUAAGGAUUUUAAAAUGCAGAAAGAAAUAUAGAAUAUGUCCAUACAAUGAAAUUAUUUAAGAAAUAUUGGUUGGAACUAUGGAGAGCAUGAAAGAAAAUAUAGCACACUGCACAGGACUAAGAAAAUGGGAAGAAAUACUUAGUUGUGUGCAGUGUGCUGACAGUGAGAAUUUGCCUCAGACUCCACACCAGCCCUAGGCCCAUCCACACACCCAAAAACAAAUAAAUAAAUAAAAGAAGAAGAAGAAGACAAGAAAAGAAAAGAAAAGAAAAAGAAGAGAAAGAACAACACAGCAGCACCGAUCUAUUGUUUUUCCUUCUAUGUUUUAAUUUUGUUAGGGAGGUUCUUCUACACACUGUUGUUCUUUUCAAAUUGCCUCUCUAUCAAAGCCAUUAACAAAAACAAAUCAUGUUCUAUGUGUGAUUAUUGAAUGUCUUUUUAAGCAUAUGGAAGACUUAUGGCCAUCAUAAGAAGUUGAAUAAUGCCCAAAUAUCACAUUUCAAAUGCCUGACCACUCCAUUACCAAUUAUCUUCACACCUCCAAGGUCAAAGCUUCUUUAGAAUUUCCUCACAACCAUUCUCAAUUAGAGUGUUUCAUGACCAUGAGUACUAAAAUUGACUGAUGACCUAGAUGAACAAUCAACAGUGUGAACAUGUGAUGACAAAUUUGUUUGUAGUUCUCAAUUAGUCUAAUGGGAACAAGUCUUUCUGUUAACCAAUUUGAUCCCUCUACCAGUUAUUUGUUAUUUAUUUUACUUAGUUACCUAUUAGGACUAUUUCUUAUGCAACUUGUCAUCUGGCUAAUAUGCAGGAAUUGGGUUCAAAAGUGUAUUUUUGAUCACAGCUCAGCCUUACAUAUUCAGUAAUGGAUAUCAGAUACGAUUCAAUGAAGAGCCUUGCUCGCACAGCAAUCUUGGGUACAUUGUCCCUGAAUGGGUUGAGCAGAAUCCAAGUCUUGCUGACAUAAAACAAAUAUAUGGUUCUCAUGCUGUGCUUCCAACCACUACUAUAAUCUUGCCUCUAAAGCCAGACAAGAUCAAACCUGUGAAGCAACAGCUCUCAAGUAUUCAACCUGAAGUUCUAUUAUUUCUUUCAAAGAUUAAGCAGUUUUCUGUCAAGGAAGAUAACAAGGAUCCAAGGCUCAAUACAGUGAAUGCUAUAUCUAUUUCAAGUGAAAUUAACUUUGUUACAAGGAAAAAUAUUGAUGCUGAUUCCUAUACUCUCCAUCUCUCCACGGAUGAAGCUAGUGAUGUGACUGAAAAAGAAUGCAGCUAUUAUAUGUGGAGGCAGAAGUUCCCUGUCAGGCAGGAAAAUCAAGUAGAAAGAAGACUUGGAGUGGAGGAGUGGGUUAUUAAGCUAGCAUUUCCGAUUGGACAGCGACUGAAUAGGGGGAUGAGCUCUCCUGGAAUCUAUGCAUUUCUUCCUACGGAGAUGGUUACAAAUUUUCCUUUCAUUAUUCAGGCAGAUUUUGUUCUUGCAUCAUCCAGGGAAACAAUCCUCUUGGACAACAAAUGGAACCAAGGCAUUCUAGAUUGUGUGCCUUCUGCUUUUCUUAAUGCCUUUAUUUCACUGGUUACAACAUCAGAAGAUGUUCCAGUUUCUACACUGACCCCAAUGUUUAAGUUCUUACCUAUCAACAGCUCUUCUUAUCCAAAGCUCAAUGUCGUGAGGGAGUCUAUCAAAGCAAAACUGCUUACAGAGAAUAUCAUACCGUGUGAGUCGUAUUCAGACCAGAAGAUCUUUCGUAAACCUUGUGAAGUGGGUAGGUUAAUGCCUUCUUUCUGGAAUAUCCUGAAAAAGGCAAGGAAGCAAGGGGUAAGCUUGCAUUCUCUAUCAUCCCAUGGAAGGUAUAUCCUGAAUUCUUCAUUUGAUACAGAGGAGCACGAUCACAUAUUGAAUUUCCUUGGUGUGGAACCUGUCAAUAGCGAAUGGUAUGCCAAGUGUAUCAUGAGUUCCAAGCUUGUUUUGGGAGUGACAGAGGAUGACUAUUUGGAGCUUCUACUCUUUAUUGCUGAGAAAUGGAGUUUCUCGUUCUAUAGCACUACUAUGAAGUAUGUGCCUCUCCUGAAAUAUGUUGGGCUUGACGGAAGGGUUGCUUUGUGUGCUAUAAGCAACGUCACAAUGCGGGAUGGUGAAAGUAUGAUUUGUAUGUCCCAUGAGCCUCGGCAUAUCUCAUGGAUGAUAGAUUGGAACAGGGAAUUUGGAUUUAUGACAGAUCGAUAUUUUAUGCCCAGAAGCACACAAGCAGCUAUAAUGUCAUUUUUUAGGAGAGAGACUCUGUUGGAAUGGCUUAAAAUUCAAGUUAAGGUUCGUGUUGUAGGCAUGUACAACUUUGCGGUCAUUCUUUAUAAUUCUCUCAAUGAUGACCGACAGCUUGCAAUUGCCUAUGCUCACUUCCUUUAUCAUUCGUUCUCAAAGAGUUAUCUACCAAAGGAGAAGGUUGAUUAUUUGUGUGGUAUUAUGCCACUUGUAGAUAACUAUGGGCAUGUGAUGAGACGAAGAAAAGGGGUUCUCGUCCCUGCCAAUGGAAGCAAAUGGGUGGGAUUGAUGGGUGCAAAUCCGUGGAGGGAAGAAGGCUAUGUUGAACUAGGAGAAGACUAUUUGCGCUCAGGAAAUUAUGCAGGUUCAUUCACCCCAGAAAGUCAGCUAAUAACAUUUCUCAAAACACAUAUUGCAGUUUCUGAUAUACCUGAUAUAUCUCCUCCCAACGCUGAGUUAUCUGUUGCAGAUACACCACUCACCAAGAAAAAUGCAUUCUUGCUGUUGGACUGGAUUCAUAAUCUGAAUUAUAAGGAAAAUCUGCCUGCUAAGU